rnacentral:rRNA from 1 species
AGCAGCCGCGGUAAUUCCAGCUCCAAUAGCGUAUAUUAAAGUUGUUGUGGUUAAAAAGCUCGUAGUUGAACCUUGGGCCUGGCUGGCCGGUCCGCCUCACCGCGUGUACUGGUCCGGCCGGGCCUUUCCCUCUGUGGAACCCCAUGCCCUUCACUGGGUGUGGCGGGGAAACAGGACUUUUACUUUGAAAAAAUUAGAGUGCUCCAGGCAGGCCUAUGCUCGAAUACAUUAGCAUGGAAUAAUAAAAUAGGACGUGCGGUUCUAUUUUGUUGGUUUCUAGGACCGCCGUAAUGAUUAAUAGGGACAGUCGGGGGCAUCAGUAUUCAAUUGUCAGAGGUGAAAUUCUUGGAUUUAUUGAAGACUAACUACUGCGAAAGCAUUUGCCAAGGAUGUUUUCAUUAAUCAGGAACGAAAGUUAGGGGAUCGAAGACGAUCAGAUACCGUCGUAGUCUUAACCAUAAACUAUGCCGACUAGGGAUCGGACGAUGUUAUAUUUUGACUCGUUCGGCACCUUACGGGA